UGAAUCAGGACCAGUGCAAUAAAUCACCCUCAAUACUUCCUGUGAAUGGCAACUGCUGAAGGGAAGCUUCUGCCUCUCAUCAUACACUGCCUCAGGGGGGAACAAAAUAGAUCAUUACAAUGGAGGCCAAAGAGUGAGGAUGUUCUGCUCUGAUUGGCAGGGAGAGUUUGAAGGUGGGUUGGCAGAGACUGUGACCGCAACUGACUGCGUUCUGCAGAAUUAUGGUAAUGAAAUUGGAAGCCAACUUUCGUGAAGCAGAAAGCCUCAAGACACUAUACAUAAUGCAUCAAAAAUUGUGUUCUCGCUAUAUUUCUGUUUAUUUGGUUUUAUAUGCAAGAAUAUAGAUAGCAUCUGCUUUGAUAUAAAACUUUUAUGUGUCUUAUGUAGUUGAUUUGUAAAUGUCCUAUCUAUAAAUAUAAAACAAUAAAUUACUAGUUACAGUUAGCUUAGGAAAACUUUUAAUCAUGUCCUACAUUUUACAACUUGUAAUUUCUACCAAAUGUUUGUAUUUUUAUGUCUCUUAACGUAUUUUAAUAGAAUUCCUCAUAUGUUUUGCAGAAAGCUAAUUAUGGUUUUCCAUGUGAUUUUU
rnacentral:lncRNA from 1 species